ACCUGAUUGAUGCCCAAAAACAGAAGCUCAGACGUGCUGCGUAACGAGAAUGAACCUCAUUGGUUCUCGCAUGCCAAACAAACAUGCUUAUGCUUCCGUUCACCACAACUGAUGUGCGAGUUGAUGAAUGUUUAUAUGUGAAUAAAAUCCAAAUCUAAAUCUGUUCAUAAUAUAAAGCGAGUCUUCAGAGAAAUGUGACUAAACCGCUCAAUUUAUAUGGAUUUGUUUUAUGAUCUCUUUAUGUACUUUUUGAAGUAUCAAAGUCUCAGUUGCAUAGCUGUUUAUGGAGGGACAGAAAACUUUCAGAAUUCAUAAAAAAUUUUUUUAUUUGUGAUCCAAAGAUGAACGAAUGUCUUCGAGCAUGACACGAGGAACAACAGCGUAGACAUGGAAAGAGAAUGCAUCCUCAAAGAACUGUGUAUACUUAAAGGAGGACCAUCUACAGCUGUUCAAGGAGUACAAUGAUUGCGACUGGAUGAAUGCUAAAGAAGCCAUAGAGCAGAUGGUAAUGGGGAUCUACAUCAUCCAGUCAGUAGACACCAACCAGGGGAUAAACCUGUGGACAUUGGUAUCCUGAUUGAAGGGACCGAGGUGCUCUGCUCUUUGAAGAACGUGUAGGAGUGGCCAUGCUGUUUGGACUUACUUACGCCUUGAACCUCAGCUACCCACGAGAACUCAAGGCUACAUUUGAGGUCAUCCAGAAAGUGUUCUUUAUCUUGGAUGGACAAAAACUUUCACUAAAGGUACCAGCCCUUAAGAACAAGAUGUUGGAGUAAGUUACCUUACGUGUGUAUUCUCAAAAGACUAAAUCUUGACUCAAGAAGGUAUUAGCUGUGCAUAUACAUUGAAAUAUAAUGUUGUUCAUCUUGGAUGAUAUAUAUUUUUUUUUUUUCACCUGAAAAUUUGCCUUGAAAUAAGAAUAAAGAGAAACUUGUGACAUUCACUUUGAGAACAUUUUAUUUGUGCAGUAAAUUACAUUUUGAUAGACAUGUCAACAAUUAAACAUUUGUUUGAUGUAAAUAAAGUUGUACAAUUAACUUAACGAUAGUAGUUGACACAAUAUUUCUGGUUUUCUAAAUUAAGUGAUUAAGAUUAAUUGGCUCAACAAGAUUAAAUAGUUUAUAGAUAAAUACGAUAAUAUGAUUCAAAUGAAAAUGAUUUGAUCUUGUUGGUUCAAAAUGAAUUUUGCUCUUGGGUUCCAUUUGCCUAAAUUAAGUUGAGACAACACCAUUCAAAUGUGUGGAAAUAGGUGUCAUAAUUAUAUUAAGUUAGACCAACGAUUUAUUUUUUUGAGUGUAGGUUACUUACCU